rnacentral:rRNA from 1 species
GAGGAAUAUUGGUCAAUGGCCGAGAGGCUGAACCAGCCAAGUCGCGUGAGGGAUGAAGGUUUAUGGAUCGUAAACCUCUUUUAUAAGGGAAUAAGUGCGGGACGUGUCCCGUUUUAUAUGUACCUUAUGAAUAAGGAUCGGCUAACUCCGUGCCAGCAGCCGCGGUAAUACGGAGGAUCCGAGCGUUAUCCGGAUUUAUUGGGUUUAAAGGGUGCGUAGGCGGCCUUUUAAGUCAGCGGUGAAAGUCUGUGGCUCAACCAUAGAAUUGCCGUUGAAACUGGGGGGCUUGAGUAUGUUUGAGGCAGGCGGAAUGCGUGGUGUAGCGGUGAAAUGCAUAGAUAUCACGCAGAACCCCGAUUGCGAAGGCAG